UUGCUUAUUUUAUGCCUUUCUAAUUAUCAUGCCUUUUAUGUCUAUGCUUAUUUUCUUUGAUGUAUAGAAACACGUUAGUGUGUUAUUGGAGGGCGAGAGUCCAAAAAUAAAAAAUGCAGCAGCAGUCAACUUCAUCACUGUCCCUUCUGCACAUAUAAGGCUGAACAAUAUAUGGUCAACAACCACAUCAAAGGUCCUGCUUCAGUGAGGCAGAGAGUUCACAAUCAGAAAGUGUGGCUUCAGUUGUAGAAAUACGACACACUUUCAUUGUUGCUAUUGCACAGCAACAAUAAUCAACAGAGCACAGUUUCGGAAGCACCUGACAUACCAUCAGCAUCCAGUGACCCCUCAAGAGCACCCAGAGGCCCUUAAAUUCUCAUCACUAGUGGAUAUAAGGUUUUUUGUGAUCCCCAUCCGAUUGUGUGAUUUUCUUUUUCAAAGGAAAACAUGCAGCAAAUUAGGCAAUGGUGGUGCCUAGUUUUCCUGCAGAACUUUCCCAUACCGUGUGAAGAAGAGGUUGAAAGAUGGAAAAAGGCUUAAGGAAAAAGGCUUAAGGAAAAACACACUAUAGGAUGUAGAAGACGUCCCCCCUAAGAAGUCACAGCAUGUCACAUCAGCAUCCAGCUCUGCAGGAACAGACGAUACUGAAAACAAAWUGCARGGCGAACUGGGAGCUGUGAACUGGGAAGCAGAUGUUCUUCUCAGGGACAGCCUAGAGGCAGCAAGGUGGUGCGAACGCCAAACAUUUAAAGGCACCGUUUCCCUCCCAAGUGUAAUUGGGAUGGACGGGGAAGACCGUAUUACAACUCUUAAAGAACUACGGUUGUAUGAUGGCCUGGAUGAAGAGGAAAAUAUUCUCCUCAAGGAACCAUUCAUGUUCUCGUUCCAGUUAGAGAUUAUGAGAUGUUCUAUGUGGAGGCAGUUGACAACAAGAAAAUGUUGAGCAGGAGUGAAGCCAUUUGAAGAGUGGUCAAACCUUGUUUUUGUCUGCUGUGUUAAUUGUUUCAAUUAUUAAUUGUGUUAUGUUGUUUAGUACAGAUGGUGUAGAAGUCACCCGAGUCUCUGAUCUCUUUACUGGAGCUGGUAUAACUUAAUGUACAGAGCACAUUCAGCUUGUCAGUAUGUCUAUAUGGUAUAGUCUGUCUCCAUUCUCAUGAGGAAAAUAAAAAGCAUUAUAAAUCAGGAUAGGUAGUAACUGUAUAUAUGCUCAAUUAAAUAAUAUAAUUACAAAGUUAUAACAUUUAUCAACACAAUUUUAACAGUACAUGACAUACAUAACAAGUCUGUUGUUCACUGCAACAAUAUCAGUAUCUUGUCUCAAAUAUAGCAUGAAGCAGAAAGUGUUACAACAUGUGCUGGUACCACUUUAUAUAAUAUUUCUUACAAUCUUCAAAAAUG